AAAUAUCUCUAUAAAGCUCUGAAAUGCAAGGAGCCUCCAUCUUCUGAUAGGCUUGCAGCUAUGCAAAUCCUCUUUGAGGUUUGCCCUUGUUUUAAAUUUGGAUUUAUGGCAGCAAAUGGGGCCAUAAUUGAGGCAUUUAAAGGUGAAAAGAGAGUUCAUAUAAUAGAUUUCGACAUAAACCAAGGGAGUCAAUACAUAACACUAAUACAAACACUUGCCAAUCAGCCAGGUAAGCCNNNNNNNNNNGUUAACAGGGGUUGAUGAUCCUGAGUCAGUACAGCGUCCAAUUGGUGGCCUGAAGAUCAUAGGGCAAAGGCUUGAGAAACUAGCAGAAGCAUUUAAGGUGCCAUUUGAAUUUCAUGCAGUGGCAUCUAAAACUUCACUUGUUAGUCCGUCAAUGCUGGACUGCAAGCCUGGAGAAGCACUUGUAAUGAAUUUUGCUUUCCAGCUCCACCACAUGCCUGAUGAAAGUGUAUCAACAGUAAAUGAGAGAGACCAGCUUCUUCGAAUGGUUAAGAGCCUAAAUCCAAAACUCGUAACUGUUGUUGAACAAGACGUGAACACUAAUACUGCCCCCUUUUUCCAAAGAUUCGUCGAUGCAUACAAUUACUACUCUGCAGUGUUUGACUCCCUUGAUGCAACUCUGCCAAGGGAAAGUCAGGACAGGAUAAAUGUUGAAAAGCAGUGCCUAGCACGGGACAUAGUAAACAUAGUAGCAUGUGAAGGAGACGAAAGGAUUGAGCGAUAUGAAGUUGCAGGCAAAUGGAGAGCAAGAAUGAUGAUGGCUGGCUUCACUUCAUGUUCAAUGGGUCCUAAUGUGGUAGAUAUGAUUCGCAAACUCAUAAAGCAGUACUGUGAUAGAUACACGUUGAAGGAAGAAAUGGGUGCACUGCUUUUUGGGUGGGAAGACAAAAGCUUGAUUGUUUCUUCAGCAUGGAGGUGAACAGAAUCAUUUGGUCACUGCAAAAUCAUUCAGCAGAACUUCAACUUUUGUUUAGUCGAUGUAUUUAUAUUUUUGUGUGGGAUCAAGAUGCAUGCUAAUGUCCGUUCUUAUUAGACCAAAAUAAGGACUUCCUAAUGUUGUGCAAAGUAAUGCAGGGGGAUUGCUAAUUACCUAACAUUAUCAAAUUCUCUUAAUCUCUUGCUGCCUUGCA
rnacentral:misc_RNA from 1 species